GUUGAUGGUGUCCAGGUAACUCUCACAAGACAUGUCUUAUUUGGUAUUGUUGGGGCUACUUCUUGAUCAUUAGCUCUGUUUGACACAUUGUAUCCUGACAGUUGAUAGUUGAUGAGAUGAACAUCUUAACAACAGUCUUCUUGAAAAUUGAUCGCGAAAAGGUGUACUAUCCAAAUUCUGUUUUGGCUACCAAGCCCAUCAGCAACUUCUACAGAAGCUCGCCUAUGGGUGAUAAUGUGGAGUUCUCUAUUGCAUUUGCAACCACAGCAGAAAAGAUCGGGGCUCUAAAAGAAAGAAUAGCAAAGUAAGUCUUUUCUCCUAUUGACUAGGGUAUCAAAUUUAGGUUUGUUGGUAUUUUUCUCUCAUUCUGGGGUGUAAUGCAACAUGAAUUUUUUUAUUUUUAUUUUUUUCUGAUAGACAUCCUGCCAAAAAAAUUGAUUGAGCUAAUAACUUUGAAACAACAUGAGUUUUUUUUUUCCCUUCCAAACAAAUCAGUUCCACCACCUUCAUCCAAGCUAGACCCGAUAUGGUUCAUUCUACUUAUUUGCCCUUGUAUAAAAUUCAAAUUCGGCCUAGGGAAAUUGAACUACUAACAUUGUGGUUGCCCUACUCUUUUUCUCAUCUAGGAAAACAUCUUUGAAAGAGGUAGUAUGUCUGAAAAAUCGCAAAAUUUACCUUGUUUUUACAAUUGAUUCCUAGACUCCUAUGUAUGUGCAAUCUGAAAGAUUGAUCUAAGACUCUGGAUACUGGCCUAGUAUCCAUCAAAAUGAGGAAUACCAGCCUUGACAGGAGCAGCCAAUGGAUCCACAAAAGGAGUGCUAUGCAUUCUGAAUACAUUUUGAUGUAAUUAUACUACUCAAUUUGGAAAUUUUCUUAUCAAUUUCUUUUGCCAGGUACCUGGAGAGAAAUCCCCAAUACUGGUUUCCUGCCCACACUCUGGUAGUAAAGGAGAUUGAGAAUGUCAACAAGAUCAAGAUGACUCUAUUUGUCAAUCACACCAUCAACUUCCAAGACUAUCCAGAGAAGACUAAUCGGAGAACCGAACUGGUGUUAGAGCUGAAGAAAAUAUUUGAAGACCUAGAUAUCACAUACUACCUCCUGCCCCAAGAAAUUCAGAUCUCUAAUACCACCACGCCAGCCACAAUACACGGGCAUGCCACCAAACAUCUGUGACCCACU
rnacentral:lncRNA from 1 species